rnacentral:rRNA from 1 species
AACGAACGCUGGCGGCAGGCCUAACACAUGCAAGUCGAACGCAUCGCAAGAUGAGUGGCGCACGGGUGAGUAACACGUGGGAAUGUGCCCUUUGGUCCGGAAUAACGUCUGGAAAAGGACGCUAAUACCGGAUGUCCCCUGCGGGGGAAAGAUUUAUCGCCAACGGAGCAGCCCGCGUCUGAUUAGUUAGUUGGUGGGGUAAAGGCCUACCAAGCAGACGAUCAGUAGCUGGUCUGAGAGGAUGAUCAGCCACACUGGGACUGAGACACGGCCCAAACUCCUACGGGAGGCAGCAGUGGGGAAUAUUGGACAAUGGGCGCAAGCCUGAUCCAGCCAUGCCGCGUGAGUGAUGAAGGCCUUAGGGUUGUAAAGCUCUUUCACCGGAGAAGAUAAUGACGGUAUCCGGAGAAGAAGCCCCGGCUAACUUCGUGCCAGCCGCCGCAGUAA